AAUUGCAAGAUUGAUCAAUGGAUAAAGCCGUGCGCACCAGGGAUGGGAAUCCAGAACUGGAAGGCUGAAAAGAAUCAGCACUGUUACUCAUCUGGAAGAGUAUUAUUUCUUGUUUUCAGUUUAUAUGCAUGAAAGUCAUACGUGUUGCCCGACACGUAAUGGUUCAUUGUAAGGGCCGCCUCAUGUUCAUAAAUUUGCAUUUUCUGCAUCAUUAAUAAAUGGAUGUUUUUCAGUCAAAAAGCGGUGUCCCCUGUUUUUCAUUUAUUUUGCAGUUUAAAAAC
rnacentral:lncRNA from 1 species